GAUCAAGCUCGGUCCUCGCGAUGCAUCUAGAUUAGAGUUUGAUCCUGGCUCGACGAACGCUGGUAGCGUGGAUUAGGCAUGCCCGUCGAACGGGAUCCGGGAGGUAGCAUACUUCCUGGUGAGAGUGGCGGAUUGGGGAGGAACACGUGAGCACCUGCCUUGGAGUCGGGGAAAACCGUUGGAAACGACGGCUAAUACCGGAUGUGGCGCCCGGUGACAUCAUCGGAGCGCUAAAGGGGGCCGCAAGGCUCUCGCUCCUAGAGGGGCUCGCGCACCAUCAGCUUGUUGGCGGGGUAACGGCCCACCAAGGCCUACGGUUAGCUGGUCUGAGAGGAUGACCAGCCCCACUGGGACUGAGAUACUGCCCAGACUCCUACGGGAGGCUGCAGUCGAGGAUCAUUUGCAAUGGGCGAAAGCCUGACAAUGCGACGCUGCGUGGAGGAUGAAGGCCUUCGGGUUGUAAACUCCUGUCAUGGGGGAACAGCGAGGGGACCAAUACGUCCCUUAGUGAGUGUACCCAAGAGGAAUGGCGGCUACUCUGUGGCCAGCAGCCGCGGUAAUACGAGGCCAAGAGCCGUUGUUCGAAUUACUGGCGUAAAGGCCCGUAGCGGCAAGGCUGUCGAUUGUAAUUCCGCUCACCCGGAAAGUGCUCGAAACUACCUUGCUGGAUCCGGAGGAAUCGGA
rnacentral:rRNA from 1 species